rnacentral:rRNA from 1 species
AACGAACGCUGGCGGCAUGCCUAACACAUGCAAGUCGAACGAGACCUUCGGGUCUAGUGGCGCACGGGUGCGUAACGCGUGGGAACCUGCCCUUAGGUUCGGAAUAACUCCCCGAAAGGGGUGCUAAUACCGGAUAAUGUCUUCGGACCAAAGAUUUAUCGCCUUUGGAUGGGCCCGCGUUGGAUUAGCUAGUUGGUAGGGUAAAAGCCUACCAAGGCGACGAUCCAUAGCUGGUCUGAGAGGAUGAUCAGCCACACUGGGACUGAGACACGGCCCAGACUCCUACGGGAGGCAGCAGUGGGGAAUAUUGGACAAUGGGCGAAAGCCUGAUCCAGCAAUGCCGCGUGAGCGAUGAAGGCCUUAGGGUUGUAAAGCUCUUUUACCCGGGAUGAUAAUGACAGUACCGGGAGAAUAAGCUCCAGCUAACUCCGUG